GAAGGUGGGAAUAUGCCUGUGGGGUUUAGCACCGCGCAAGUCGUGCUGGCAGUGCAGAGGGCAGCUCCGUGAGGCGGGCCCGCUGGAAGGCAACCUGGAGCAGCUGAAGGAAGAGCAGAAGGCGAGGAAAUGGGCAGGGCGGAUGCAGAUCUGGUUUUGAGAUGUCUGGGAAGAGAGCAGAACGGCAGAGGCAGCCAGAAGGGAGGGGCCAAGGCAGAGGUGCGUGCCGUCUGUCCGAGGGGAGGGUCCGGGUGUGUUUGUCUGUCGUUACAGCACGUGUUUGCCUGCAGCUGAGGAUGGUCCAGGAGGGGGAGAUGGCUGAGGAUGUGAGGGGGGUGGCCCCCAAGCUCAUGGAUCAGCAGUGAGGGGAGGACGCCAGGCGAGGACAGAGGGGCGGUGACAGCCAACCUGCCACCUUCGGGUCAUGGAGUCACAGGUGGAGACAUGAUCCACUGCAGCAUUCCAGUGGAGGAUGAGGGCGGUCACGAGCUGAAAGGGGACGGAGGCAGACGAGAGGUGGCUGUGUGGGGCAGGGAGCUGGGCCGCCCUGGAAACGUAGGACAGGGUCGCAAGUGUGGUCUCUCCUGGGAGUCCUGAGUUAGAUCCGGUAAGCCCCGUCUUCUCCACCCCAGACCGGGAUCCGCGCGUCACCCGAGGUGUGCCUUGCAGAGCUGGGAUCGAUUAGAACACAGGUCCUGACUGCUGUUCCAGUGCCCUUCGGUCAGUCCCAGUUCACCUUUAAAAGCAGUUAACGCGAGAGGGAAGCUUUGAAGCUUGACAGUGGGUCUUUCCGUCACAACGCUGUCCAGCAGUGGAACAAUAUUGCCUGCGGAUUCAGCUCCCCUCUGUCUACAAACGGUGCAUUUGAGCCCUUGUUUCCUGGGUUUUUGCCACACUUCCCGCCUUCCGUGGCCUUUCUUCUGCGGUGCCUGCAGCCCUGGCUCUGGUUUGUCCGUGCUUGGGCAUCUCCUGCCUGGCGGGGCAUGGGCUCUGCAGGGGGGACCUGCCAGCUCCUGCAGUGCCAGCGCCCAGGCCCAUAGGCGCUCUGCCGGCAACCAAGACUUAGAACGACACGCAUCUGGGAGGCGUCUACAGUUGGAAACCACUUUCCCUCCCUGCUGCAGCCCUGCGCCAAGGGAUGCUCCUCUGGCGGGGCCUCAGAUCCUUUGACGACUCGAUAGCGAGUCCAGUCACUGCCUUACCAACAUGGAAACUUCAUGGAGCGGAGGUCAACCUUGAACUCGGGUACCCCGUUUUGUGUCAGUUAUUAAUUGCAGGCUGGAGCGUCCCACCUUUUCACGGCCCUGAGCGCACCCUUCUUGGCUCUCGAGUCUGGACCCUCCCUCUUGGCAGCAAGCUGAAGUGUCCGUGCUCAGAACGCUGGUGGCCGCCUGGCCCCGAGAACCGUCACAGCCAUCAGUCAAGGGCACGGGGGCAGUCCCCAGGGACGCCGAGCACGCUUGUACAGACCAGCCUGGAGCGUGUUGGCAGAAGGCAGGGCAGGUCGGGCUAAGUUCCACAGGUGCUCUGUGUCUGGACCUCUUUCCUGCUCCUAACCCGGCUGUGUCACCAGCCUGCCCCACUUUCCAGGCCAGCCUUGGUGGAAUAGUCCUCAGGCCCCAGGAAGUCAUUUUCUUCAAGUAAAAAUCCUGCACUACUAAAAAUGAGGAAUUUUAAACAACCUGGAGGCUUUCUCUAACUGGAAUAGAAACAUAGUUUUCCUGACCCCAAGUUUUAUCAGGCCCCAGUAUCUCCCAUCAUGUCCUGGUAGCCACAUGACAAUCAGUUUGGGGUAAAUCACGCUAUUAAAUUAUUUGUGCAGCAGUUAGCAAUUGUUUAGCCUUAUUCUGAGGUUUUUUUUUUAAACCUAUUUAAGUAACCUUAACAAUGCUGCUGUCUGAAAUAGAUGUUGUAUUAGUCUUACAUGAAACGAGAUGAAAGUUAAAUCUAUAAAAUGUUGAAUCUCUUAAAUCUAACCAAGGAUGGAAUAUAUCCUGUUAAUUUGUCAAACUUCUAGAGAAACGCCUACAUGAGACAGUAAGGAUUAAUCAAGCCCUAGUAAGAGGGAAUUUGAAAAAUACAGUUUUCUAAUUAUGCAGUCUCUUCUCAGCGGGCCAAGGUUAAUGCAGUUCUGCAUUCUGACAGUUAGUAAUACGAAAGAAAAAAAAGACCAAAGCGUGUGAAUUGUCUUAUAGUUACCU